rnacentral:rRNA from 1 species
GACAGAGGGUGCGAACGUUGUUCGGAAUUACUGGGCGUAAAGGGUUUGUAGGUGGCUUGUUAAGUCAGACGUGAAAUCCCUCAGCUUAACUGGGGAACUGCGUCUGAUACUGGCGAGCUUGAGUGCAGGAGAGGAACGCGGAAUUCCAGGUGUAGCGGUGAAAUGCGUAGAUAUCUGGAGGAACACCGGUGGCGAAGGCGGCAUCCUGGACCGACACUGACGCUGAGGCGCGAAAGCUAGGGGAGCAAACGGG